CUCCUCAUCAACCAUGAGAGCAUUUGGGAAACACUGCCCACCAACUGUGCUGUAGAACACUAGAAGGGCUAGAGAGACCUACAAAUGAGUUUACUUCUCCUAACAGGAAGCCGUGCGCAACAAUAGCCAAAGGAUCUUUGCUGUAACCAAAAGAUUGUAUUACAAGAAAAUUAAGCCAAAUUGCAAAUGUCUUAGGCAAGAGGAGAGCCCAUGUUCUCACCCACAUCCUUCCUCUGAAGAAUUCGAACUCUGUGGCCCACCUGCCUGCUGUGGGCAAGAUCUCACCACCAGAAGUGAGCCCCCAGGGGCCACAUUGUUCUCGGCCAGCUUUGAAGAUGAGGAUCCUCUGGGUAUGCCUGAAAGCUCAGAUCCCAGAAGACCCAAAACUCCCCGAAAUGCUUAUCUGCAACAAGCAGCUUCACCUCUCUGAGCUCAUUUCUUCACCUGAAAAAUGCAGAAUGAAUAACUCUUUCUUCCCAGACACAAAUCUGUGGUUUGAUGGCACUUGGGAAUUUUCACAUCAAGGGAAGUUUGGGGGUAAAAAUUAAUGAUUCAGUGACCCCUGAGUUUUUGAUUUCACAGGAAGGAAUACGGAAUAUAAGAUUGUCAAUAUAGUCACACCCCUGAUCCACAGUUAAACUUUCUGACAUUUCAUUUUCCCUCAGUCAGGCAUGGUCUGAAAACUUUACAUGGAAAAUUCCACAAAUAAGUGAUUCAUACAUUCUAUACAACCCUUAUUACAUUACAUUGUUAUAAUUGUUUUACAUUAUUAUUAGUUGCUGUUAACCUCUUCCUGUGCCUAAUUUAUAAAUGAAUCUUUAUCAUAGAUAUGAAUAUAGGAAAAAAACGUGUUAUAUAGGGUCCACAGGGUCUAUCCACAGUUUCAGGCAUUUCUGCAAGGCUUGGAAUGCAUCUCCAAGAAUAAGAACUGUGGCAUCCUGCAGGGAUGAGUGGACUCUAGCCACAACCAGGACCUGACCAGAGGCACAGCCACCCCACUGACCCCUUGGUGACAUUGGAAGAUCCCACGCC
ensembl:lncRNA